AAAAAGCAGUGUGUCUCCGCGUCCUUCCCCGGCGAGACGAACUCCCGCUGCCCCACGUACCGGCGAACGGCGGCGUCGCUGCCUCUGGACACCCGCGCAGCCGCGCGGAAGACCAUUAGGGCAUCUACAAGGGUUCCGAGAUCCCUGUAGAUAGGGUUCAACAGAGGACUCUAUUUGGAGGUUGCACAAUCACGCAUUGGAGGAGUCCCUGGUCACGGGAAUGGGGCCUUCACGUUGGGAGCCAGUGACGAACCUGCCAUUUCAGUGCCGGUGACCUGUGGUUGGCGUCUAUGCUGUCCAAGCAAGAAACUACUUCCUGUAUUUUUGGUCUCAUGGAAGGAUUAUGGUUGACACACUGGCAAGCAACUUCAAGCACCUUCAGCAUUUGCUCCUCAUACCCUGUGCCCCGGAGUGUUGAA